rnacentral:misc_RNA from 1 species
GUUUCGUGGUUCCCCUUAUCAUGGUCACACACAAAGUAAAUAUGUACAAAUAAUACCACAAAUACUUCCACUUAUUUUUUACCACGGAAACGGAUUAUUUUAUAUUGCAAAUAAAAUUAGAGUUUCCAGCCAGAUCCUAAAAUAUUCUCAAUCGAAAUCUCAUGAACAUCAUAAAUCCAAUUUCUGUCGAAUCUAUCAGUUGUCAAAGGUUCUUCACUUUCCCUCUUUUUGUGUUUUUGGGAAUACCAGAGUUUUGCUAGUUGUUUUUAAGAAAAAUAUUGAACCAAUUUGUUAUAGUUCGUGUGUCUAUACAAAAAUUGAUUUAUGAAGGCAUUUUAUUUCCUAUAAUAUAAUAGAACACAAAAUGGAGAAUGGGAUACUUUCCUGGGUGCCAGACUGCUGGAAAAAGGAUGAUAUGAGUGCUCACUCAUGGUGUCAGAGAAUAGAAUUGGAAAGAACUUGUGAAGAAUUUGAACAAAUUCAAUAUGAGAUAAGAAGGGCUACUCUAGAUAUCAAAAAGCACAUAAGAUGUAUCGAAAGAAAUCAGUCUAUAUAUGACUUGGGACAAUUCCUUAUUAGGGGACAGCUUUUGAUGACUUUAAAACCUUUUACCAGCUAUUACAAAGUAAGGCGAUAUAUAAAAAUAAAAGCCAACCAUCUAACAGCUGCAUUAAAUUACAAUGUCGAUUAUAGAAGAUGUGGUUUGAGUUCAGUCGUUUUUAAUAGCUUCAUCCCUAAUAUGACAAAUGGCGAUAUUCUGUUGGUUAUCCAAGUUAUAACUUCUGAACCACAAAGCAGUUAUAUUACACCAUCUAACAGUUCAGAUUAUUAUAUAGAAUAUAUUGUAAGAUUUUGAAGGAGUCUAUACACGAAUCCUAAAUCUAUCCAAACACUUGAAAUUGUUACUUACCAUCAGUUCAAUAAUCUAUAUUUCAUUAAUUAC